rnacentral:rRNA from 1 species
UACAGAGGUCUCAAGCGUUGUUCGGAUUCAUUGGGCGUAAAGGGUGCGUAGGUGGCGCCGUAAGUCGGGUGUGAAAUUUCGGAGCUUAACUCCGAAACUGCAUUCGAUACUGCGGUGCUUGAGGACUGGAGAGGAGACUGGAAUUCAUGGUGUAGCAGUGAAAUACGUAGAUAUCAGGAGGAACACCGGUGGCGAAGGCGGCUUUCUGGACAGAAACUGACGCUGAGGCGCGAAAGCUAGGGGAGCAAACAGG